rnacentral:rRNA from 1 species
GACGAACGCUGGCGGCGUGCUUAACACAUGCAAGUCGAACGGAAAGGCCCUGCUUGCAGGGUACUCGAGUGGCGAACGGGUGAGUAACACGUGGGUGAUCUGCCCUGCACUUCGGGUUAAGCCUGGGAAACUGGGUCUAAUACCGGAUAGGAGCCAUUUUUAGUGUGAUGGUUGGAAAGUUUUUUCGGUGUAGGAUGAGCUCGCGGCCUAUCAGCUUGUUGGUGGGGUAAUGGCCUACCAAGGCGGCGACGGGUAGCCGGCCUGAGAGGGUGGACGGCCACAUUGAGACUGAGAUACGGCCCAGACUCCUACGGGAGGCAGCAGUGGGGAAUAUUGCACAAUGGGCGCAAGCCUGAUGCAGCGACGCCGCGGGGGGGAUGACGGCCUUCGGGUUGUAAACUCCUUUCGCUAGGGACGAAGCUUUUUGUGACGGUACCUAGAUAAGAAGCACCGGCUAACUACGUG